rnacentral:rRNA from 1 species
GUCUAUGGCCAUGCCACCCUGAACAAACCAAUUCUGUCUGAUCUUGGCAGCUGAGCAGGGUCGGGCCUGGUUAGUACUUGGAUGGGAGACCACCUAGGAAGAUCAGGUGCUGUAAUCA